UGGGGAAUAUUGCGCAAUGGGCGAAAGCCUGACGCAGCGACGCCGCGUGAGGGAUGAAGGUUUUCGGAUCGUAAACCUCUGUCAGAAGGGAAGAAACCGCACUGUGCUAAUCAGCAGUGCCUUGACGGUACCUUCAAAGGAAGCACCGGCUAACUCCGUGCCAGCAGCCGCGGUAAUACGGAGGGUGCAAGCGUUAAUCGGAAUUACUGGGCGUAAAGCGCACGUAGGCUGCUUUGUAAGUCAGGGGUGAAAUCCCACGGCUCAACCGUGGAACUGCCUUUGAUACUGCUUAGCUUGAAUCCGGGAGAGGGUGGCGGAAUUCCAGGUGUAGGAGUGAAAUCCGUAGAUAUCUGGAGGAACAUCAGUGGCGAAGGCGGCCACCUGGACCGGUAUUGACGCUGAGGUGCUAAAGCGUGGGGAGCAAACAGG
rnacentral:rRNA from 1 species